rnacentral:lncRNA from 1 species
GUUGGAAUCUGUGUCCUCAUUAGUGGUUAUAUUUAUCACCAAAUCUCUAUUCUGUGAAACUGCAGUGAUGGCAGGGAACAUUUACACUCUUUUUAGUAGAAAAUGUCUCUUCUGUAAUAUAAAAUGAAAAAAAUAACUUUCAUUGAUAAGAAACAACUAUAUCUUAAAAAAUCUAAAUAAAUACGAUGAAGCUUUCCCUAAGAGUGUCAGCAAAAGCUCAGAUCCUUACAUGUCAAAGUUAUGUUUGAGGAGAAAAAGAAGUCAGUUAAUAUAAUAUUUUUGACAAUAAAAUAUGAAAGUGAGACAAGAAUUCGAGGGAAAGGAAUCUGAAUAUUCAGGCUCACUAGUUUCCACAAUGAUUUACUCAGUUGAAAAAAUGAAUACUCACUUGCUUCUCCAAACUUUUGCCAUGCAGACAAAGUCCAAGACACAAGAAGAGCUUACAGUAAAUUUUAUGUCUCACAUUAAUAUC